UAGGGAAUCUUCGGCAAUGGGGGCAACCCUGACCGAGCAACGCCGCGUGAGUGAAGAAGGUUUUCGGAUCGUAAAGCUCUGUUGUAAGAGAAGAACGUGUGUGAGAGUGGAAAGUUCACACAGUGACGGUAACUUACCAGAAAGGGACGGCUAACUACGUGCCAGCAGCCGCGGUAAUACGUAUGUCCCGAGCGUUGUCCGGAUUUAUUGGGCGUAAAGCGAGCGCAGGCGGUUUAAUAAGUCUGAAGUUAAAGGCAGUGGCUUAACCAUUGUUCGCUUUGGAAACUGUUAAACUUGAGUGCAGAAGGGGAGAGUGGAAUUCCAUGUGUAGCGGUGAAAUGCGUAGAUAUAUGGAGGAACACCGGUGGCGAAAGCGGCUCUCUGGUCUGUAACUGACGCUGAGGCUCGAAAGCGUGGGGAGCAAACAGG
rnacentral:rRNA from 1 species